UGGGGAAUAUUGCACAAUGGGCGCAAGCCUGAUGCAGCCAUGCCGCGUGUAUGAAGAAGGCCUUCGGGUUGUAAAGUACUUUCAGUCGGGAGGAAGGUGGUAAGGUUAAUAACCUUGGCAAUUGACGUUACCGACAGAAGAAGCACCGGCUAACUCCGUGCCAGCAGCCGCGGUAAUACGGAGGGUGCAAGCGUUAAUCGGAAUUACUGGGCGUAAAGCGCACGCAGGCGGUUGAUUGAGUCAGAUGUGAAAUCCCCGGGCUUAACCCGGGAAUUGCAUCUGAUACUGGUCAGCUAGAGUCUUGUAGAGGGGGGUAGAAUUCAAUGUGUAGCGGUGAAAUGCGUAGAGAUGUGGAGGAAUACCGGUGGCGAAGGCGGCCCCCUGGACAAAGACUGACGCUCAGGUGCGAAAGCGUGGGGAGCAAACAGG
rnacentral:rRNA from 1 species